ACUAUUGUAGGCCUGAAGGACACCUACUGGUUUUAAGAUGUCUACAACACCUACUCUAGCCCAGAACACCUUGGACACUAGAAAAGACCCAUUGUCUCUCAUUUCAUCUGUUUGACUCGCUGACGAAGGCUAGAUGCAAAAACGCAUUAAAGUUCUUUUAAAUUGGUUCUGUAUGGCUUGGCCACUUGCAAUACAAGCAUUUUAAUAGUUAAAAAAUAGUAGUUUGAGCUUUAUUUUAUUUUAUACCUUUUCCAUUAAAAAAGAAACUCAAACUAACUCAGAUUUGAGUCCAGGAAGCGCUCCUAUCCACAUGUUCUCAAAAUAAUCUUUUUUUUAAAUACAUCUUUCUGUUCCCUCUACUACUACAUGCUACUCAAAGCUACAUUAUAGCCUUUAUCAUGGAGCUAAUCAUUUUAAUAUGUUUUAUCAUGUUUCAGAGAUGCACCAGGACAAUCAACAAUUCAGCCUGGACGGAUAGUAAUAUCUGAUGCUGAGGAUCUGGAUCCACCGGAAGCAAAUCCAGAAAAAAUUUAUUGCUACAGGUAAGUAAAAAAAAAAGAAAAGAUAAUGACUGACAUAAUUUAAAUGUAUUGAACUGAUUACAUGGGGAAGACAUUUUUGUUUGUAAGAUGUUUUAACAUGAAAAUGGCAAUUUCCCAACAGUAAAUACACAGACCUGUAUUCACCAAAUGUUGAGCAGGAGGACGAAGAGCCGGUUGCUGUCAAUGUGAAGAAUUUCCAACACACAGCAAUGGAGGAGACGGACAUUGCAUUACCUGACAUCGUAGCAAACCUGUCUCUUCCUAUUGAUCAUAAAAAAAGUCAGCCGGUUUAACAUCUCAAGGGAUAAUGUUUGGGAUGGGGCAGUCAGAGGUUUCAAGCGUACAACAUAUUCUGAAACCUGUGACAUGCUGGUGAAAUUUACUGAUGAUACUGGUGUUCUGGAAGAGGGAAUUGACACUGGUGGUCCAAGACGAGAGUUUUUAACUCUACUGAUGAAACACCUAAAAGACCGGCCCAUUUUUGAUGGACCAGAAGGACAUCGGUUCUUGGUCUACAAUGCAAAGGCUGUUAGGGAGGAUGAAUACUACUUGGCAGGAAAGAUGAUUGCUGUGUCAGUUGUGCAUGGAGGUCCAGGACACCAUUUCCUGUCAGAAGAUCUUGUACAUUAUCUUGCAGGCCAGCCUUCAUUCAAAGCAACAAAUAAUUUAAUAACUGAUGAAGAAAUAGGGAAAGCUUUGCAAGAGAUUGAGAAUGCUGCUUCAUUGGAUGCUCUGCAAGAAUGUAUGAUGAGACACAGCACAAUGUUACAGACAGCAGGUUGUCUGAGACGUGGCUACUGUGGAAGAAAAUAAAGAAAUCGUGUCAGACUACCUCCAAUGGUAUAUCAUUGACCGCAACUCAUCUGUAAUUGACAGAUUCAGAGAUGGUCUUUCAACCCUGGAGUUUUUGACUGCACUACAGCAACACCCUACUUUGCUGGCUCCUGUCAUGUGCCACUCUGAAAGGCGACUCACUGCUUUUGAACUUGAGAGACUCUUCAAACCUGACCUCAGUCCUUCGGGGAGUAAUCGAAGACUUAAAGAAAGUCAAACCAUGGCCUACUGGGCAGACUAUCUCCUUGAUUGUGAAGAAGGCCAGGCUGCUGUGUCUGUGGAAGAUGUUUUGAUGUUUGCUACUGGGCUGUCUUCACUUCCCCCAUCUGGCUUGGAACCACUGCCUCAAAUAGAGUUCCUGGAGGACUCUGCGUUCCCAAUGGCAAAUACAUGUUCAAACUCCUUGAGAUUACCACUCCUAGACUCAUACUUUGUUUAAGUCACAAAUGGACUUUGGAAUUCAAAAUAGUCCAGGAUUCGGCUGUUUCUAAGCUAUAUGAUGGAUGACCCCUAAAGUUAAGACUCUGAAAAAGUUCUUGUUGUUAAAGGUUAGGGUUGGGCAUCAUUUAGAUUUUAACGAUUCUGAUUCCAAUUCCGAUUCUUCCUUUCGAGUCCGGUUCUUAUCGAUUCUCGAUUCCGAUUCAUUGAGUGGUGGAGUUGAAACGGGUCACAUGCUUAUUUCACAAAUAAGAGGAAAGUUUUAUUUUGAUUCAAAGGUGGGUUGCAGUUUGACGGGGCUUUUUCAAUGUAAAAUAAAGCCACACUAGAGCACCGCUUACUGUGCUCCAUGGCUGCAACACAACAAGCACCUGGCCGCUACAGAAACCAAAACUUGCGCAUGUUAAAUUUGGAACCCAUGAUCAGAUUUGAAACCCAAUCCUCCAAAACGAUUCCAAUAAAGAAACAAUUCCGAUGGAAUCGUAAUUUUUUUAACUAUUCCAAGUAGGAAUUGGUUCUUGAUGCCCAACCCUAUUAAAGGUGCACUUUUAAAGUGCAGUUGCCAAAGUUGUUUUUAUAAUGUUACUGUAUGUGAGCAUGUUCUUUUCUCACAGUAAACAUUUUGAAAAUGUUUUAGAUCCAUUACUCUCAAUACUACAAAAGUGUAAUAAAUACUGAUUACUA